rnacentral:lncRNA from 1 species
GAUUUAUUCAACUUCCUGGUGAUUCUACACUACUUUAUGUAUCCAAAUGAAGGUUCUAACAUCGCGAUUCAUCCUGGUUUGAUUAGAAUGACGGAAAAGUUGUCAUAUUCCCAAACUGGAAAACUGGGAUCACCUUAUUUGAAAGUGGAAUAACUUCUUCAUCCUAACUCCUAUGAGAUUUAUUCAACAUUCUGGUGAUUCUCAACUACUUUAUGUAUCCAAAUUAAGUUUUGUACAUCGAGAUUCAUCCUGGUUUGAUUAGAAUGUCAAAGAAGUUGUCUUAUUCCCAAACAGGCAAACUGAGAUCACCUUAUUUGAAAGUGGGAUAGCUUCUUCAUCCAAACUCCUAUGAGAUUUAUUCAACUUCGUGGUAAUUGUCCACUACUUUAUGUAUCUAAAUGAAGGUUCUUACAUCAAGAUUCAUUCUGGUUUGAUUAGGAUGACUAAGAAGUAUUCUCAUUCCCAAACAGGAAAACUGGGAUCACCUUAUUUGAAAGUGGGAUAACUUCUUUAUCCUAACUCCUAUGAGAUUUAUUCAACUUCCUGGUGAUUCUCCACUCCUUUAUGUAUCCAAAUGAAGGUUCUUACAUCGCGAUUCAUCCUGGUUUGAUUAGAAUGACGAAGAAGUAUUCAUAUUCCCAAACAGGGAAACUAGGAUCACCUUAUUUGAAAGUGGGAUAACUUCUUCAUCCUAACUCCUAUGAGAUUUAUUCAACUCCUGGUGAUUCUACACUACUUUAUGUAUCCAAAUGAAGGUUCUAACAUCGCGAUUCAUCCUGGUUUGAUUAGAAUGACGAAAAAGUUGUCAUAUCCCCAAACAGGGAAACUGGGAUCACCUUAUUUGAAAGGGAGAUAACUUCUUCAUCCUAACUCCUAUGAGAUUUAUUCAACUUCCUGGUGAUUAUCCACUACUUUAUGUAUCCAAAUGAAGGUUCUUACAUCGCGAUACAUCCUGGUUUGAUUAGAGUGACGAAGAAGUUGUCAUAUUCCCAAACAGGGAAACUGGGAUCACCUUAUUUGAAAGUGGGAUAACUUCUUCAUCCUAACUCCUAUGAGAUUUAUUCAACUUCCUGGUGAUUAUCCACUACUUUAUGUAUCCAAAUGAAGGUUCUUACAUCGCGAUACAUCCUGGUUUGAUUAGAGUGACGAAGAAGUUGUCAUAUUCCCAAACAGGGAAACUGGGAUCACCUUAUUUGAAAGGGAGAUAACUUCUUCAUCCUAACUCCUAUGAGAUUUAUUCAACUUCCUGGUGAUUAUCCACUACUUUAUGUAUCCAAAUGAAGGUUCUUACAUCGCGAUACAUCCUGGUUUGAUUAGAGUGACGAAGAAGUUGUCAUAUUCCCAAACAGGGAAACUGGGAUCACCUUAUUUGAAAGUGGGAUAACUUCUUCAUCCUAACUCCUAUGAGAUUUAUUCAACUUCCUGGUGAUUCUCCACUACUUUAUGUAUCCAAAUGAAGGUUCUUACAUCAAGAUUCAUCUUGGUUUAAUUAGAAUAACGAAGAAGUUGUCAUAUUCCCAAAUAGGGAAACUGGCAUCACUUUAUUUGAAAUUGGGAUAACUUCUUCAUCCUAACUCCUAUGAGAUUUAUUCAACUUCCAGGUGAUUCUACACUACUUUAUGUGUCCAAAUGAAGGUUCUUGCAUCAAGAUUCAUCCUGGUUUGAUUAGAAUGAUGAAGAAGUUGUCAUAUUCCCAAACAAGGAAACUGGGAUCAUUUUAUUUGAAAGUGGGAUAACUUCUUCAUCCUAACUCCUAUGAGAUUUAUUCAACUUCCAGGUGAUUCUACACUACUUUAUGUGUCCAAAUGAAGGUUCUUGCAUCAAGAUUCAUCCUGGUUUGAUUAGAAUGAUGAAGAAGUUGUCAUAUUCCCAAACAAGGAAACUGGGAUCAUUUUAUUUGAAAGUGGGAUAACUUCUUCAUCCUAACUCCUAUGAGAUUUAUUCAACUUCCAGGUGAUUCUCCACUACUUAAUGUAUCCAAAUAGAGCUUUGUACAUCUCGAUUCAUCCUGGUUUUAUUAGAAUGAAAAAGAAAUUUUCAUAUUCCAAAUAGGGAAACUGGGAUCACUUGAUUUGAAAGUGGGAUAACUUCUUCAUCCUAACUCCUAUGAGAUUUAUUCAACUUCCUGGUGAUUAUCCACUACUUUAUGUAUCCAAAUGAAGGUUCUAGUUUGAUUAGAAUGACGAAGAAGUUGUCAUAUUCCCAAACAGGAAAACUGGGUUCACCUGAUUUGAAAGUGAAAUAACUUCUUCAUCCUAACUCCUAUGAGAUUUAUUCAACUUCCAGGUGAUACUUCACUGCUAAAUGUAUCCAAAUCUAGCUUUGUACAUCUCGAUUCUUCCUGGUUUGAUUUAGAAUGACAAAGAAAUUGUCAUAUUCCAAACAGGGAAACUGAGAUCACUUGAUUUGAAAGUGGGAUAACUUCUUCAUCCUAACUCCUAUGAUAUUUAUUCAAAUUCCUGGUGAUUCGCUCCAAAUCAAGCUUUGUACAUCGCGAUUCAUACUGGUUUUGAUUAGAAUGACGGAAAAGUUGUCAUAUUCCCAAACAGGAAAACUGGGUUCACCUGAUUUGAAAGUGGAAUAACUUCAUCAUCCUAAAUCCUAUAAUAUUGAUUCAAUUUCCUGGUGAUUCUCCACUACUUUAGGUAUCCAAAGCAAGCUUCUUACAUCGCGAUUUAUCAUGGUUUGAUUAAAAUGACGAAGAAGUUGUCAUAUUCCCAAACAGGGAAACUUGGAUCACCUGAUUGAAAGUGGGAUAACUUCUUCUUCCUAACUCCUAUAAUAUUGAUUCAAUUUCCUGGUGAUUCUCCGCUACUUUAUGAGCUUUUUACAUCGCGAUUUAACCUGGUUUGAUUAGAAUGACGAAGGAGUUGUCAUAUUCCCAAACAGGGAAACUUGGAUCACCUGAUUGAAAGUGGGAUAACUUCUUCUUCCUAACUCCUAUAAUAUUGAUUCAAUUUCCUGGUGAUUCUCCGCUACUUUAUGAGCUUUUUACAUCGCGAUUUAACCUGGUUUGAUUAGAAUGACGAAGGAGUUGUCAUAUUCCCAAACAGGGAAACUUGGAUCACCUGAUUGAAAGUGGGAUAACUUCUUCUUCCUAACUCCUAUAAUAUUGAUUCAAUUUCCUGGUGAUUCUCCGCUACUUUAUGAGCUUUUUACAUCGCGAUUUAACCUGGUUUGAUUAGAAUGACGAAGGAGUUGUCAUAUUCCCAAACAGGGAAACUUGGAUCACCUGAUUGAAAGUGGGAUAACUUCUUCUUCCUAACUCCUAUAAUAUUGAUUCAAUUUCCUGGUGAUUCUCCGCUACUUUAUGAGCUUUUUACAUCGCGAUUUAACCUGGUUUGAUUAGAAUGACGAAGGAGUUGUCAUAUUCCCAAACAGGGAAACUUGGAUCACCUGAUUGAAAGUGGGAUAACUUCUUCUUCCUAACUCCUAUAAUAUUGAUUCAAUUUCCUGGUGAUUCUCCGCUACUUUAUGAGCUUUUUACAUCGCGAUUUAACCUGGUUUGAUUAGAAUGACGAAGGAGUUGUCAUAUUCCCAAACAGGGAAACUUGGAUCACCUGAUUGAAAGUGGGAUAACUUCUUCUUCCUAACUCCUAUAAUAUUGAUUCAAUUUCCUGGUGAUUCUCCGCUACUUUAUGAGCUUUUUACAUCGCGAUUUAACCUGGUUUGAUUAGAAUGACGAAGGAGUUGUCAUAUUCCCAAACAGGGAAACUUGGAUCACCUGAUUGAAAGUGGGAUAACUUCUUCUUCCUAACUCCUAUAAUAUUGAUUCAAUUUCCUGGUGAUUCUCCGCUACUUUAUGAGCUUUUUACAUCGCGAUUUAACCUGGUUUGAUUAGAAUGACGAAGGAGUUGUCAUAUUCCCAAACAGGGAAACUUGGAUCACCUGAUUGAAAGUGGGAUAACUUCUUCUUCCUAACUCCUAUAAUAUUGAUUCAAUUUCCUGGUGAUUCUCCGCUACUUUAUGAGCUUUUUACAUCGCGAUUUAACCUGGUUUGAUUAGAAUGACGAAGGAGUUGUCAUAUUCCCAAACAGGGAAACUUGGAUCACCUGAUUGAAAGUGGGAUAACUUCUUCUUCCUAACUCCUAUAAUAUUGAUUCAAUUUCCUGGUGAUUCUCCGCUACUUUAUGAGCUUUUUACAUCGCGAUUUAACCUGGUUUGAUUAGAAUGACGAAGGAGUUGUCAUAUUCCCAAACAGGGAAACUUGGAUCACCUGAUUGAAAGUGGGAUAACUUCUUCUUCCUAACUCCUAUAAUAUUGAUUCAAUUUCCUGGUGAUUCUCCGCUACUUUAUGAGCUUUUUACAUCGCGAUUUAACCUGGUUUGAUUAGAAUGACGAAGGAGUUGUCAUAUUCCCAAACAGGGAAACUUGGAUCACCUGAUUGAAAGUGGGAUAACUUCUUCAUCCUAACUCCUAUGACAUUUAUUCAACUUCCUGGUGAUUCUC